rnacentral:rRNA from 1 species
GACUAACGCUGGUGGUGUGUCUAAGCCAUGCAAGUCGAGCGCACCGCAAGGGUUUUAUUACGCUUACGGUACGCGGCGGACGGGUGAGUAACGCGUGAGUAACCUGCCUCAAAGUUGGGGAUAGCCUUGAGAAAUCAAGGAUAAUACCGAAUUAAGCCUUAGUCGUAAAGAUUAUCGGUUAAAGAUGGCCUCUGCUUGCAAGCUAUCGCUUUGAGAGGGGCUCGCGUCCCAUUAGCUUGUUUGUGAGAUAAAAGCUCACAAAGGCAAUGAUGGGUAGCCGGCUUGAGAGGGUGACCGGCCACGCUGGGACUGAGAACGGCCCAGGCUCCUACGGGAGGCAGCAGGCUAGAAAUUUGGCCAAUGGACGAAAGUCUGAGCCAGCGACACCACUUGGGGGAUAUGAAGGCCUUCGGGUUGUAAACCCCUGUCAAAAAGGAAGAAGAUCUGGAAGUCGAAUAAACUUUCAGGUUGACGGUACUUUUAAUAGGAAGCCACGGCUAAUUCCGUGCCAGCAGCCGCGGUAAAACGGAAGUGGCUAGCGUUGUCCGAAAUUACUGGGCGUAAAGCGGGCGUAGGCGGGUUACUAAGUUGGAUGUGAAAACUAGCUGCUCAACGGCUGGCCUGCAUUCAAAACUAGUUACCUUGAGUCUGACAGAGGGGAGCGGAACUUCUGGUGUAGCGGUGGAAUGCGUAGAUAUCAGAAGGAACACCAAAGGCGAAGGCAGCUCUCUGGGUCAAGACUGACGCUGAGGUCCGAAAGCUAGGGUAGCGAACGGGAUUAGAUACCCCGGUAGUCCUAGCCGUAAACGUUGGGCACUUGACGUGGGCGAUUUAGUCUGCGUCGUAGCUAACGUGAUAAGUGCCCCGCCUGGGGAGUACGUUCGCAAGGAUG